GUCGCAGACGUCCGGCUCCCGGUGUUCGUGUCGGAUGCAGUCCGCCAUGUUGGUGACGCACAGGUUGCAGUGGCAGCUCAGCGCCUCCGGGUACGACACGCUGGGGUCGACGCCCGCGGGACAGUCCGGCAGCUGCACCGUCCUGUAGUGCAGCUCGCGAAUACCUUGGUUCUGCAGUGGCCGCUGCAGAUGGUCGUCUCCACCAUGUGACACCGGGGACAGCCUUCCUUCUCCAGAGACAGCGUCAUGUUGACGAGCUCGCAGGGCGGCAGCUCCAACGCCGCUGCGGACACACACACACACACACACACACACACACACACACACACACACACACACGGGGGAUGUUAAAAACAAUCAUUCCUGGCCCCGCCCCCCUUUUUGUCACGAUCCACAGCGACAUGUAACACACCCGAAUGUCAGGAGCCAAGGGCCAAACGGAGAACGAGGCCCCGAGGAGCAGCGUCAGAUGGAUCAUCAUCGCUGUCCUGACGAGCUCGGCCGACAGCGUGCAGGAAGUGAUGAUGAUGAUUACGAUCGGGUUACGAACUUCUGACGCAGGACGAAGAGCAACAAACACACAGAUCAGUUUUUACAUUGGGAGAUUUACUGAGGACACGAAAAAAAUGAAUCUCUUUUCUUUUUGUCUUUUGUUUAUUUCACAUCGUUUGGUUUGAAAAAAUUAAAUAAUGUCACAUACAACCAAUGUAUUAAAAAUAUGAUCCUGCAGUUUGUCUUUGAAAUCUGAUCAAACUACAACCACAGUCUUGAUGAAGCACAUUAAUGUGUUUUUUUUUGUUUGAUUUUCAUCUUUAUCUUCAUAUUUUUAGGUUAUGUAUGUCUAUAUUUUUAUUUUUGUUUUAUAUAUAUAUUCUUGAUUUGUCUUUCUUAUCUUAGCUACCAAACAAAAUGUCUCUGUACAACUACAACGACGAUAAAGCCACUUACGUCUUUAUGAAUAUAACAUAUUUGAACUGUUGCAUAUGUAUUUCAAAUAUCAAAGAAGUAUUAUUUCCGUGUCUUGAUAUUUAACUUUUGACUCCUACAUCUUUUCAAGGCUAAAAAUAACGUGAAACCUUCACGUUACUUCACUCCUCUUCACCAUUUUAAUCUUCAGUUAAAUAUACAAAGAGCCUCUGAUGGAGACUUUAACCCCCUGACCCCUGCAGAUACAAAUUAAUAAACACUUUUUAUUAAUUAAAGAUGAAUAAUUGACAGAUGCUUCACUCACCUGUCUGGAGGCUGCGGGUGGGCGGGGCCGAGGCCUCCCGCCGCGCG